UACGUAGGGCGCAAGCGUUGUCCGGAAUUAUUGGGCGUAAAGAGCUCGUAGGCGGUUUGUCGCGUCUGUCGUGAAAGCUUGGGGCUUAACCCCAAGUCUGCGGUGGAUACGGGCAGACUAGAGGCAGGUAGGGGAGAACGGAAUUCCCGGUGUAGCGGUGAAAUGCGCAGAUAUCGGGAGGAACACCGAUGGCGAAGGCAGGUCUCUGGGCCGCAACUGACGCUGAGGAGCGAAAGCAUGGGGAGCGAACAGG
rnacentral:rRNA from 1 species